CAGGGCGCUCUGGAGUCUGUCAGUUAUGAGUGACCCAAACAGUACAACAGUGGAUGACGGUCCCAGGCCUUUAUCCUUGUUGAUUCCAGUCUGAAUUUUCCCCAGAAUCAUAAGGAACCUUAGCAGUGAUCUAA
rnacentral:lncRNA from 1 species